rnacentral:lncRNA from 1 species
AAAAUGCAACUCUAUUUAUCCACAUCUAUGCAUUUUUUAUUUUUACUUUUUGCUUUGCUGAAAAUGGUAAUCACAAAAAACAUAAAUCAAAAUAUCAAAUCAUUAUGCAGGUUAGUUUCUAAACCCCUUGAAUACAAAGAUCCUACUCCUUCUCCAAAAUUUGAAUUCCCUAUGUUUGAGAUCGAGGAAAAAAGUGAUGAUGAAGUGUCUGAUGAAUUGUCUCCUCUACUUGAGCACGAGAAAAAAACCAUUCAGUCGUUUGAAGAGCAGAUUGAGU